rnacentral:rRNA from 1 species
CCUACGGGAGGCAGCAGUGAGGAAUAUUGGUCAAUGGGCGCGAGCCUGAACCAGCCAAGUAGCGUGAAGGAUGAAGGCCCUACGGGUUGUAAACUUCUUUUAUAAAGGAAUAAAGUGAGGCACGUGUGCCUUUUUGUAUGUACAUUAUGAAUAAGGAUCGGCUACCUCCGUGCCAGCAGCCGCGGUAAUACGGAGGAUCCGAGCGUUAUCCGGAUUUAUUGGGUUUAAAGGGAGCGUAGAGGGGUUGUUAAGUCAGUUGUGAAAGUUUGCGGCGCAACCGUAAAAUUGCAUUUGAUACUGGCAGUCUUGAGUACAGUUGAGGUAGGCGGAAUUCGUGGUGUAGCGGUGACAUGCUUCGAUAUCACG